GACGAACGCUGGCGGCGUGCUUAACACAUGCAAGUCGAACGGAAAGGCCCUGCUCUUGUGGGGUGCUCGAGUGGCGAACGGGUGAGUAACACGAGAGUAACCUGCCCUUGACUUUGGUAUAACAUCAGGAAACUGAGGCGAAUACCGGAUAGGAGCUCCUGCUGCUUUGUGGGGGUUGGAAAGUUUCGGCGGUUGGGGCUGGACUCGCGGCUUAUCAGCUUGUUGGUGGGGUAGUGGCUUACCAAGGCUUUGACGGGUAGCCGGCCUGAGAGGGUUACCGGCAACAUUGGGACUGAGAUACGGCCCAGCCUCCUACGGGAGGCAGCAGUGGGGAAUAUUGCGCAAUGGGCGGAAGCCUGAUGCGGCAACGCCGCGUGCGGGAUGACGGCCUUCGGGUUGUAAACCGCUUUCGCCUGUUACGAAGCGUGAUUGACGGUAAUGGGUAAAGAAGCACCGGCUAACUACGUG
rnacentral:rRNA from 1 species